rnacentral:rRNA from 1 species
AGAGUUUGAUCAUGGCUCAGAAUCAACGCUGGCGGCGUGCCUAACACAUGCAAGUCGAACGCGAAAGUGGAGCAAUCCAUGAGUAGAGUGGCAAACGGGUGAGUAACGCGUGGGUGACCUGCCUUCGAGCGGGGGAUAACGUUCCGAAAGGGACGCUAAUACCGCAUAACAUCCCUGGGAUGCAUGUUCCGGGGAUCAAGGGCGCAAGUCGCUCGGGGAGGGGUUCGCGCCUGAUUAGCUAGUUGGUGAGGUAACGGCCCACCAAGGCGACGAUCAGUAGCCGGCCUGAGAGGGCGAACGGCCACACUGGAACUGAGACACGGUCCAGACUCCUACGGGAGGCAGCAGUGGGGAAUUUUGCGCAAUGGGCGAAAGCCUGACGCAGCAACGCCGCGUGGAGGAUGAAGGCCUUCGGGUCGUAAACUCCUGUCAGGGGGGACGAAUACCUUAACCGGUUUGACUGUACCCCCUGAGGAAGCCACGGCUAACUCCGUGCCAGCAGCCGCGGUAAUUC